UACGUAGGGUGCGAGCGUUGCCCGGAUUUAUUGGGCGUAAAGGGCGCGUAGGCGGCCACGCACGUCCGUUGUGAAAUCGCCCGGCUCAACUGGGCGGGGUCAGCGGAUACGGUGUGGCUCGAGCAAGCUAGGGGGCAAUGGAAUUCCCGGUGUAGUGGUGGAAUGCGUAGAUAUCGAGAGGAACACCUGCGGCGAAGGCGGGUUGCUGGGCUGACACUGACGCUGAGGCGCGAAAGCUAGGGGAGCGAACGGG
rnacentral:rRNA from 1 species